rnacentral:lncRNA from 1 species
AGUUUACUUAUACUUGGGAUUUAAUUAUAUUCUUUAAUAUGACUUGUUUUAAAGUUUAAUCUGAAAUUUGGACAUCAGUCACGUAUAACAAAAAAUAUUUUCACUUUAAGCUGCAUAAACUUAUAGAAGGAAGAAUUGGGGUUUCUAAAAAACAGAAUAUUUAAAAGAGCGUUUGUCUAAAGUUUUAAGGUGAAUUUUCUUUACUGUUAUAAUUUAGGAUUUAUUUUAUGGCAAUAUAGCACUUUAAAAACAGUCAAUUGGUUUUUAACAGAGAAGAAUAGACAUUGUAAUAGGUUAUAUCCUCAGAUGUAUAGCUAGGAUUUACCUCUGUAAUAAAAUAUUGUUUUAAUUAUACAUGAGAGACAUACAUAUUUCUUAAAAGAAGCCAAUCUAUUUAAGUGCAUAAGGUCAAAUCAUCUUUUAACUUUAUAA